AUCUCUACACAGAUAUCCCUUACUAUCCAACCAAUUCUUCAAUGUAGCAUGGAUAGACUCAACUUGGUUUGUUGUUAUAUUCCCAAGGUGUCUAACCUGAUCGGUCCAUGCACAAAAAAAAUUCUCCUUCACCUAGUCCAAAGUUGUGCUUUUAACACAUUUCAACAAAAUAUGGAUAUUUAUCGCACACCUUCCUGAAAUGUAUAA
rnacentral:lncRNA from 1 species